GGAACACUCAGCACUUACCACCAGCUGUCAGUCCCCUCCCAGGAAGCUUCUCUGGGCACACAGGAAGUACACUGCUAGCUGAAGAGAGGCACAACAAACUGCACAUCAGAAUUCCAGAUUAAGACUGAAUGAAAAAAAUGCUCCAUGUUGCUCAUCAACAACAGAUUGAUGAUGAUGGAAUGACAGCUCCACAGAUCAACUGCAGUGAAUGAGCUCCCAUUUAGUGUAAUGGAUGAGCACCACCAAAGAGGGUACUGCAGGGGCCUCAGACUGCAGAUCCACAAAGCAGUCAGCAGAGCUGAAAACUUUCUAUUGAUCUUUGCAGUCCAUGAGGAAUGAUCAGCAGGAGCUCUUUCUUAGUAACUGUAUGCUGGGGAUAAACACCGCUGCACAUAGACAGGUCCCCAACAGAAGAGAAACUUGUCUGGCUUCUUCAGGAGAAGCCUUCCUGGAGACAUGCCAGCAAACUCCAUCCCAGAUUCUCUGAUCCACUAUAAACACUUAAGAACAUGCUUAACUUUAAACAUAUGAGUUGUCCUAUAGACAUCAAUAGUGUUGCUAAUGUGCCUGAAGUUAAAUAUGCAUCAAGUGCUGUGCUGGAAUAGGGCCAAGGGCUCAGAAACUUGCAGGAUCAAGGUUUGGCUGGAGAACAGAGAGUAAGAAGGAAGACAAAAGAUGAGAGAUACUGAGUUACUCUCAUGCCCUCUUGCGUCAGUCCACAGUGGAAGCAAGCACUGGGAUAAACCCCCUAUUACAAUAAAAGUUAAAGGAACACCUGUACAGAAAACCGAAACACUAAAAGAUACUGUAAACACUCUUUUUUACAGCAUACAGUGUCUUCAGAUUGUUAUAUGGUACUACAUUUUAAAGCAGAUACAGUGAUGUCACUGCAGGAAAACAUCACAAAAACACUGCAGCAAACAGGCUUCUCUUUCAACAGAUGCCUGGUUGACUCACUCUCACAGCUGCACCAAAGUAGUCCAAUGUGUUUCUGGAGAGCAUUCUUGCUUGUGAAGUCUUUAUUGGGACACUCUGACUGGAGGGGAGUGCAGCCGCUUUUCAUUUCUUGUGGCAGUCAGAAAGUUUCAUUGAAUAUUUCUGAGCUCUCAAUAUCUUCCAAAACACAUGCUGAAUUUCCUGGCUCUCUUCCUUAAAAUCUGGUCUGGGUUUUUACCCCGUCC
ensembl:lncRNA